GGCAAGAAUGUUUUCUAAGACCCCGAACUCCAGAUUUGCGAUGUGGCAAAUCCUGAAGCGUACAUGGAUAUCUCUCACAGCUAAAGUAUCCCUCACCCCUAUCCAGCGCUUCUUACCCAUGGCGCGAGAGAAUCACCUGCGGGGAGGAAAACUUUCAAAAUCCCUUAAACCCAAGUUGUAACCGAUCAAUUAAAUCAGAAUCCUUGGAGUUGGAUCUGAAAAAAAUACGGUUUAAAGUUGUGCAGGUGAUUACAAUGUGUAGGCAAGCCACAAAACCAUGGGUUUAACCAGCAACUUUUGUUAGAAAUGAUUUCUCAAAUGAAUGUAAAAACGUUUGCUGCUGAAUUGUGACCUUUCAAUUUUACUUGCUUUUCCUACAAUGUAUAUUUUGCAGACCCAGGCUUGCUUCUCGUCCUGUUCCUGAUUCACCCAGUGCCCUGUGUAUUCAGUGCAUCCUGUGCACGGGUCACUGUGCUGUGUGCCCUGGCCUGGGUGAGCAUCAUUCUUCGGGGAGAACCUUGCUGAAAACAAAGCUGCAUUCCAAAAAGUUAAAACCAUGCUACUUACUGUGUUGAGGUUAAAAUUAAAAGACCUAGGGGACUCAUCCAAAAGUUAAAACAUAAAUAAAUAACUUGGAACAUUAAUAUACACCUGAUGAUGUCCUGAGUGAACAUGCCCCACUUUAAAACAAAACAAAACAUUACUAUUAUUCUAAAAUAUUAAUUUAGGAUUGUUAUGCAAAUAUGUACAAUUUAAAUUUUUAUUGAUGUAUAACAUGCAUACCGCAAUAUAGGCACAAAACGUUUAUGGAAUGCUUGAUGAAUUAUUACAAAAUAAAUACACUUGUGUAUCUAAGAAUCAGAUUUGUUCAUGCCCUUGACACUUUCUCCUUCCAAAAGGUAACCAAGACCUUAAGAGCUAAGUGCAGAUAAACUUGUCAUUUUGUACAAGUGUUUUAUUACAGAACAUUAAAAACGUAUACACGAUACAAAAAAAGUAUAACAGACCAGUCACCCAGCUUUAACAGCUACUAGUCAUGUGUCAUUUUUGUGUCACUUAUACUUCCAGCCAUUCCCACUCCAAUUUCAUUAUUUUUUAGGCUUUUUGGAUAAAAUGUAUAUUCAUUGCAAGGUACAAUGUGAACUGUAAAUAGUAGAGAGAUGGGGUUUCACCAUGUUGGCCAGGCUGACCUUGAACUCCUCACCUCAGGUGAUCCAACCCCUUCAGCUUCCCAAAGUGCUGGGAUUACAGGCAUGAGCCAAUAUACUCGGCCUGAGAAUUCAUAUUUCUAACAAAGUACAAAUCCAUAGGGCGCACAUGACAACUGCAAUAUCUAUCUACAGUAGAUACAGUUUGAUGAAUAAAAUGAAAGGCAAUUGACCUAAGGUGAAAAAAAAACACAAAAAACAAUCAAAGCAUGGGUAUUACGUGCUAUCUGUAGGAGCAUUUGGUUAAGAAUAACAAACCAGUUUUAUCGUUUUAAUAACCAAAAUUGUCAAAAUUUCUAGUUUUUCUUUCAUAGAAAUGCUCUCUGCAAGAAAAAAUUUUCAUAUAGUGAGAGCAAAAAUGGCAACCAUUUGCAAGUAAAUGUCUUAUGAAAUUAAGUAGCAGAUACCAACCUCAUGACCUUCAGAUAGUUACCCCAAACUCAAUCAUUUACAUAGCAAGUGCAGAUAAUUUUCAUAGCUUCCUAUUAAAAUUAUAUUUGAAUGCCCUUACAAAUUGUGACUGUUUUUAAAGUUCACUAACUAAUAUUUUGUAUAUGACAUAUGAUAAAUUCCACUUCAAGUCACCUUACAUUUAUUUAAUUUUAUUAGGCAGUGUCUGUCUACCACCCAGUAAUACUUGGGGAUUCUCCCUCCAUUUGCACAGACAUCAUAGCUGGGGAACAGGGAUUCACAAGACCCAGGCUGUUCCCUACAUAUUUUUCCUCCUCAGACAUCAGUUCAUCAGUCAAUCAAGUCAUGUGAGAGUGGAGGCCAUGUAUUCCGUAUUCUUGGGCACUCUCCUCCAAGGAGGAAAAGGCCAGGAGGUCCUGUUAGAGGAUGCACUCUGAGAGGCCGGGCUCCCUAAGGUGUGAGAGUUCUAACCAGCAGGUGUAGACUUUUCAGGAGUGAGGAAUGAGGCAGGCAUUCCAAACCUGGAGCUUCAUCACCUUUUGUUUCAUCUCAAGACAAUUCUGAGGGGCUGUUUUGGAACGUGUCUGGAAGGUGAACGUUGAAGAAGAGUGUGGGCUUUGAUGUGACUCAGAUAAGAUCUUUCAUGGGGAGGCAGGAAUUUAAUGCCCAGAAUCUGGGCUGGUGUCUUUGAGGUCAGUGGGUUGCCUUUUUGUAUCCAAGUCCAUUGUUACUAGGUUGGAGGCUGGAGAUUCUAAAUGGCUUCCAGACCGCCUCUCUGAUUCUCUUUUGGAGAUGGGGUCUGAAAAAGACAAUGUCAGUAUUUUUGGGAAAUUCUGGAAAGUCUGUUUGGAAACCUGUGAAGACCUCUUGCCUAGUGCCUAAAUGCUCAAUGUGCAGCUCUAGCCACGUAGAUGUUUGGUAGGUAUAGAGCUGGGUUUGCAUUUAUAUCAGCAAAACCUAUGGCAGAGUUGAAGAAGUAAUCAGGACAAAGUGUCUUGGUCGCAGGCCAGAGAACAUCUUAAAAGCAAACUUCUAGCCUGCUGACUCUUGGCAAUGAGUGUUGGGUCCUGGCCAAAGUGCCUUGAAUGCAGCAUGAAGCCAAUCCAUAAAUCCAACUUCUAAUGGAGAAAUGUUAAUAUUUUUUCAGUUUGAAUCAAUCAGGGUGAAAUUACCAUGCUAUUGGUUUGUUUACUUUUUAUUAUUUCAUAUAAAAUCUAAGACAAAAUACAUUAAACGCUUAUUGACAUAUGUAUUUAUUCUUCACCUGGCUCAUAACAUUUGCCUAAUUUUAAACUUUCUUCUAUUAUGUAGGUUUCAACUUAUUUUAUUGUAAGAUAUUGUUAAAUCUAAUACAGGCAUUGUCACCUUUACAUGUAAUUUUAUUUUAUUUCAUAUAUUUCCUAUUCGCUUUCUACAUUUAAAUUAUGGACUGUUUCAUCAUAUAAAAAGCUUCAUUUCUAUUUUAAAAAUAAUUCUUUGGGUUUUUUUGUCUUGUAAUUUCCAUAUUACAUAGUAAUGAGAUAAACAUUAAUGUUUCCAGGGUAUUUAAAUUUUAGAUAAUUACUCAUUGUAUCCAUGUGAAAUUUGUUUUUACUGCAUGUGUGGGUUGGAGAACUGUUUUCUCUUCUGAUUCGUCUUUACUGUGAUCUCCUCAGAACUCAUACCUCUCGUAGUUGGGGGAUUGCAGUUUAGAAUUCCAAUAAAUGGGGCAAAUUCAACAAUAACAUAAUACAAAUGAGUUUAAAGGAGGACAUGUCUUCAAAGCAUACACAACAUGGGCCUACAUAUGUAUACCAAUAAUAAUUUAUAAGUUACAGUUUGGAUGGAAAGUAAAAGUACAGAAAAUUUGUUAAAGUAAAUUAAAAUGGAGAUCAUGUCUCAAUAAUCUCUGAGCAGACAAAGUUAGUUAGGUCUCAUAAGUGAUCUCGAUCUUGCUUGAUUUGCAAAUAAAAGCAAAACUUAAAUUAUUUCUUGUAGCUGCAUAUUUAAAAAAGAGAAAUGAAGCUCAACCAAUCAGGAGUAGCCAACAACCUUAUAUAAAUAGAAACUGUCCAACAAGGUAAACAGACAAACAGAAAACAAUAAAAAAGUUGUGCUACCACCAAUUAAAUGAUUUAUUUGUUUCUACAUUUUUCCAAUAAAUACUUGCUUCUUACACAGUCAGUGAAGCACUAAAUAUCUUUUGGUCUGAUAUUUUAUAAUUUAUCAAUUGGUCUUUCUCAAAUAAACAUUUUACAAUUUCA
rnacentral:lncRNA from 1 species